AGUGAGAAUUGCUUCUUGUCCCUCAGAUUCUAUGUUACCUGUCCUCGGUCCACUUGGAAUCUCUUGAGAGAGCCGAGUCCUGUGUGUUCCUAGGCCCUGCCACAGGUACCUGGACGGCCUGCCUGUUGAGGCGAGGUUGUGGAUGUCCCUGGCCCCAGUGUUCCCUGCUUUGGAUGAUGUGGGGCAGCAUCCACUUGAAUGCACUUCACCAAGGAGGCCAAGGUUUUGGAAGGAAGCCCUUCUCCACUCCCAUCUCAAUAUUAGACCAUCGGAGCAUGGGACAGGAAGCUCUGGCCCCCCACCCUGGAGUCCUGAUCAGUGUACACAGCUGCCUGUCCCUUUCCCUUGUGUCCAUCUGUGAGCAGUCUUCUGCCAGAAAAUAUUUAUACAAAGAUCAAGAUCGUUAACAAUAAAAAGUUCACAUUUUAACUAUUCGGCCUCCAGAUU